GGAACUGUGAAGGAACCUGUCUGACCAUGGAGGAUGAGUAGGAGACUGUGACAAUGGCCUGGGGCCGAGGAUUGCUGAGAUCCUGGUUCAAAGCAAGUGGUUUCCAUUUUAAAGGAAAAGGCAACAGCCAACCAGCAAAGACAAGGAGGGCAGGAAGAGAGAGGGAACUGGACCACCCUGCGGACAUUGCUCAGCUCCAGGACUAUGCACCAGGAAACUGUUGGGCUGCGGAACUCCCAGGCCUAGGAAACUCAAAGUUUUGGGAAGACC